GAAAUAAACCUGAUGGGUUGUUGCUGGUUCUCUAGGGAGCAUGUGCACGCCUUGUCAUCUUUAUAUCUCCACCUGUGCACCUUUUGUAGGCCUUCCAGGUCUAUGUUGCUUUUCCAUUUACCCCAAUGUAUGUUAAUAGAAUGUUGUGCAUAUAAAAUCUAUACAACUUUCAGCAACGGAUCUCUUGGCUCU
rnacentral:misc_RNA from 1 species